rnacentral:lncRNA from 1 species
GCAAAACCAGUGAGUUCCACAUAGCAAGAGCUUCUGUUAUAUCAACUUGAGUCCGCAUCAACCACGAAGCCUCCGCCAACAACAAGGCUCUCCAUCAGAAUCCCCAGCCACUAUUCCAACCGCCGCAUAGGAAUGUGUCGCGGUCGAAAGCCCCAUCACAAUUUAUUUUUGUAACAUUCCCAAAAGGCUUCUUCCAGCUAUAUGUUGCUUUCACAGCCAUGGACAAGCUCCUUCGACGCAGUAUUAAUAAGGGAGACCGCAACUUGGCGAGUUUGUUCGGCCUGGUUAAAACCCGUCUCAUUGCUACUCUUCCACAUAAGCCAGCAAUAAAAAAGGGUAUUUCGAUCACAAUCUCUAGGCUUAAACUGACAUCUGAACGAGAUCCCUCAGCCAUCUACUUAAACCACGCAUCAAAAGUAGUAAUCUGCUCUUCGUAAAUUCUGAUGCCAACACACCCAGACAGUUCUACCUUUAGUAGCACAUGGUAACGGCAAAUGCUCUAUGGUCUCCUUUUCUC